rnacentral:tRNA from 17 species
GCCGAUGUGUUGGAAUUGGUAGACGAGACGGACUCAAAAUCCGUUGCCAGCAAUGGUGUGUGGGUUCGAGUCCCACCAUCGGCACCA